GAUGAACGCUAGCGGCGUGCCUAAUACAUGCAAGUCGAGCGAACAGACGAGGAGCCUGCUCCUUUGACGUUAGCGGCGGACGGGUGAGUAACACGUAGGUAACCUACCUAUAAGACUGGGAUAACUUCGGGAAACCGGAGCUAAUACCGGAUAAUAUUUCGAACCGCAUGGUUCGAUAGUGAAAGAUGGCUUUGCUAUCACUUAUAGAUGGACCUGCGCCGUAUUAGCUAGUUGGUAAGGUAACGGCUUACCAAGGCAACGAUACGUAGCCGACCUGAGAGGGUGAUCGGCCACACUGGAACUGAGACACGGUCCAGACUCCUACGGGAGGCAGCAGUAGGGAAUCUUCCGCAAUGGGCGAAAGCCUGACGGAGCAACGCCGCGUGAGUGAUGAAGGUCUUCGGAUCGUAAAACUCUGUUAUUAGGGAAGAACAAAUGUGUAAGUAACUGUGCACGUCUUGACGGUACCUAAUCAGAAAGCCACGGCUAACUACGUG
rnacentral:rRNA from 1 species